UACAGAGGGGGCAAGCGUUGUUCGGAAUUACUGGGCGUAAAGGGCGCGUAGGCGGCCCGCUAAGUCGAACGUGAAAUCCCCGGGCUCAACCCGGGAACUGCGUCCGAUACUGGUGGGCUUGAAUCCGGGAGAGGGAUGCGGAAUUCCAGGUGUAGCGGUGAAAUGCGUAGAUAUCGCUUGGAACGCCAACGGUGAAAACAGCUCGCUGGGGGUGUGCUGACGCUGAGACACGAAAGCCAGGGGAGCGAACGGG
rnacentral:rRNA from 1 species